rnacentral:lncRNA from 1 species
CACGUUACAUGCUCGAAGCUGAAACUGAUUAAGUACGUUUCGACUGAGGAAAAAGAUGAUAUACUGGAGGAACUUGAUUAAAGCAGUUGUAGAUAUGGUUCCAAGAAGAAUAGAUUUAGUUUAGAUUUUUAUCUGUUAAAUACAUGUAUGCAUCAUGCAUCAUAGCAUGAAUAUUUCUUCUCAGACUUAUUCUGUAUCGUAUGAAAAAGCAACGCAAUUUUGAGAAUGCGGAAAUGGUGUCUCAUAGAACCUAAAACGAUUUAAAUGCAACAUUUCUGAUCAAAAUCACAUUGGGAUCAAGGUGACUUUUCCAAUUUAUUUAAUUCCGAGUAGAAAUGUCUGGAAAAAUUCAUGUCUUCGAUGUACUUUAUAAUCUUCGGAAUUCUGCUAUAUUUCACCCCCAAAAUGCAUGAAAUCGCAAAAUCAAGGUUUGGUUACGCCACUGGUUAUAGCUGUACGAUUAUAGCUACAAAGAGUCGAAGUUAUUGUUUAAAGCUAGUAAAAUAUAGCUGAAGUUAAUAAAUUAAAGUUUUCCAAAAUCUCUCUUCAGACUCGCACGUUUGCCAAACCUCGACGGCUCAUAUUUUUCGUUCAGCCUUUUUUUCCUGUUUUGCCCCCCCCCCCCGUGAAAAUUCCUUAAAAAAGGCACUGUGUAGUUUCGGCUGUUCCAUUUAAAAGACGCACUCUAAAAAUACCCCGCAGGCUAAAAAUUCCCUGGUUAAUCUAAAAUUCACAUUCCUUACGGUGACUUAAUGUUCGCGAUUAAAUUUCCUGGUUAUUUAACCACAGUCUUGGUUAAUUCAACCAGGAUUCCUGGUAAAUUUAACCCAUAGAUAUCUUAUAUACACUAGAUAGUGCG